GGAGAGGUGCGAGAGCGGCCGAAUCGGGCGGUCUCGAAAACCGCUGUCCGGGCAACUGGACCGUGGGUUCAAAUCCCACCCUCUCCGCCA
rnacentral:tRNA from 1 species